CAGUAGCCGCGGGAAUACGGAGGGAGCUAGCGUUGUUCGGAAUCACUGGGCGUAAAGCGCACGUAGGCGGCUAUUCAAGUCAGGGGUGAAAGCCCGGGGCUCUACCCCGGAACUGCCUUUGAAACUAGAUAGCUUGAAUCUUGGAGAGGCGAGUGGAAUUCCGAGUGUAGAGGUGAAUUUCGUAGAUAUUCGGAAGAACACCAGUGGCGAAGGCGACUCGCUGGACAAGUAUUGACGCUGAGGUGCGAAAGCGUGGGGAGCAAACAGGAUUAGAUACCCGUGUAGUCCCUGUCUUUAUACA
rnacentral:rRNA from 1 species